rnacentral:rRNA from 1 species
AGAGUUUGAUCCUGGCUCAGGAUGAACGCUAGCGGCAGGCUUAACACAUGCAAGUCGAGGGGCAGCACGUCUUCGGAUGGUGGCGACCGGCGCACGGGUGCNNNNNNNCGUAACGCGUAUACAAUCUACCUUUUACAGAGAGAUACCCCAGAGAAAUUUGGAAUAAUACCUCAUAAUAUUAUUGCUCGGCAUCGAGUGACAAUUAAAGUUUCGGCGGUAAAAGAUGAGUAUGCGUCCUAUUAGCUAGUUGGUAAGGUAACGGCUUACCAAGGCGACGAUAGGUAGGGGUCCUGAGAGGGAGAUCCCCCACACUGGUACUGAGACACGGACCAGACUCCUACGGGAGGCAGCAGUGAGGAAUAUUGGUCAAUGGGCGAAAGCCUGAACCAGCCAUGCCGCGUGCAGGAAGACUGCCCUAUGGGUUGUAAACUGCUUUUAUACAGGAAGAAACACUCCCUCGUGAGGGAGCUUGACGGUACUGUAUGAAUAAGCACCGGCUAACUCCGUGCCAGCAGCCGCGGUAAUACGGAGGGUGCAAGCGUUAUCCGGAAUCAUUGGGUUUAAAGGGUCCGUAGGCGGAUUAAUAAGUCAGAGGUGAAAUCCCACAGCUUAACUGUGGAACUGCCUUUGAUACUGUUAGUCUUGAGUUAUAUGGAAGUAGAUAGAAUGUGUAGUGUAGCGGUGAAAUGCAUAGAUAUUACACAGAAUACCGAUUGCGAAGGCAGUCUACUACGUAUAUACUGACGCUAAUGGACGAAAGCGUGGGGAGCGAACAGGAUUAGAUACCCUGGUAGUCCACGCCGUAAACGAUGGACACUAGUUGUUGGCGAUACACAGUAAGCGGCCAAGCGAAAGCGAUAAGUGAUCCACCUGGGGAGUACGACCGCAAGGUUGAAACUCAAAGGAAUUGACGGGGGCCCGCACAAGCGGAGGAACAUGUGGUUUAAUUCGAUGAUACGCGAGGAACCUUACCUGGGCUUAAAUGUAGGCUGCAUUCGGCUGAAAGGCUGAUUCCCUUCGGGGCUGCUUACAAGGUGCUGCAUGGUUGUCGUCAGCUCGUGCCGUGAGGUGUCGGCUUAAGUGCCAUAACGAGCGCAACCCUUGUCGUUAGUUGCCAUCAAGUAAUGUUGGGGACUCUAGCGAGACUGCCACCGUAAGGUGUGAGGAAGGGGGGGAUGACGUCAAAUCAGCACGGCCCUUACGUCCUGGGCUACACACGUGCUACAAUGGUAUGGACAGAGAGCAGCCACUGGGUGACCAGGCGCUAAUCUCAAAAGCCGGUCUCAGUUCGGAUCGGAGUCUGAAACUCGACUCCGUGAAGUUGGAUUCGCUAGUAAUCGCGCAUCAGCCAUGGCGCGGUGAAUACGUUCCCGGGCCUUGUACACACCGCCCGUCAAGCCAUGGAAGCUGGGGGUACCUGAAGUCGGUCACCGCAAGGAGCCGCCUAGGGUAAAACUAGUAACUAGGGCUAAGUCGUAACAAGGUAACC